UCUCCCUCUCUCAUUAGGACGACCUGACCCCAAAAUGUGGGUCAACGGGUCUGAGUGGAAUUGACCUCGGCGGUGCCAGAGUAAGACAAAUCGCCUCCCGCUGGACUUCCAGACGGACCGGUCGGUGUCCAGUCUAAUCAUGUCGGGUCAUCCACAGAGAUCAGACAUCGCCACGGCUAUCUGGCCCGCGGGAGUAGGAAGGUCAAAAGGUCACAAGUUCAGGAACACUUCGUUGGGAAUACGAUAGAAACCCUUCAAGAACUCAAGAAUCGAGACAAGGACCUUGUAAGAGCUAACGCAACAACGCGACAGCAGUGUCCCAACCAGACAGUUUUACAAUAAAACAAUACUGUAAACCCUC